GAGGGUAUAGCUCAGUGGUAGAGCACUUGCUUAGCACGCAUGAGGACCUGGGUUCAAUCCCCAGUACCUCCU
rnacentral:tRNA from 1 species